GACCGUUCAGGUGGCUUAAGUGUGUAUAGCGUCUGCCUUGGAUGCAGUAGGUUGCCGGUUCGAACCCCAGCCAAGUCA